CCCUUAGAUGCUCUGGGCCGCACGCGCGCUACACUGGUCGAUGCAACGAGUUUCUUUCCUUGGCCGACAGGCCUGGGCAAUCUUUGAACAUCGAUCGUGAUCGGGAUAGAUUCUUGUAAUUUUUGAUCUUAAACGAGGAAUUCCUAGUAAACGCAAGUCAUCAGCUUGCAUUGAUUACGUCCCUGCCCUUUGUACACACCGCCCGUCGCUCCUACCGAUCGAAGAGUUAGGUGAAUUGUUUUGAUCGAUAAGAUUUGACUAUGGUCAACUCUCGUUGUGAAAUUCUGUGAAUCUGACUGUUUAGAGGAAGGAAAAGUCGUAACA
rnacentral:rRNA from 1 species